GCAUUAAUGGGGUAGUGGUAACCUGGGUCGUUGCCAUAAAAUUAUAACAAAGUGUUCGACCCGCCGGGGGUUCGAUUCCCCCUUAAUGCA